AACAUGGCGGCUUGUACUUUAGUGACUCGAAAGAUCGAGAAAUAUUGAGUGUUUAAGGAUUUCUAAUCCAUGUUUGACUGAAAGUGCUGAUAUUUUUUAUUGGGAUUUAGCAUUGCAAUGUUGUUAUAACCAAAAGUUUUGAGUAAUGAAGGCGUGCCAAAAAUAUCAAAAGUAUUUGCAAUAUGGAAGCCAUUAUGCCAUGGCGGCCGAAAACGACCUUCACCUCUUCAUUUAUUUUUAGUUCCAAUGACCUAGUUAAAAUGGGAGCUAUCUGAGAAAUUAUGAGGAUGAGAAAAUAAUUAAAUCGUAGUUUUUCUUACGGAAAUGAUAUUUUUAAUUUUAUUUAGGCCUAAGUGUGAUGAACAUGCAUCUCGGUUUAUUAUUUAUUUUUAUUCCUUUUUUUUUUAUUUUAGAAAAAAGUUGUUUGGGAUGACAGGCAAUAUUUGUAAUUCAAAUUAAA
rnacentral:sRNA from 1 species